GGAUAACUACUGGAAACGGUAGCUAAUACCGCAUAACGUCGCAAGACCAAAGAGGGGGACCUUCGGGCCUCUUGCCAUCGGAUGUGCCCAGAUGGGAUUAGCUAGUAGGUGGGGUAACGGCUCACCUAGGCGACGAUCCCUAGCUGGUCUGAGAGGAUGACCAGCCACACUGGAACUGAGACACGGUCCAGACUCCUACGGGAGGCAGCAGUGGGGAAUAUUGCACAAUGGGCGCAAGCCUGAUGCAGCCAUGCCGCGUGUAUGAAGAAGGCCUUCGGGUUGUAAAGUACUUUCAGCGGGGAGGAAGGUGUUGAGGUUAAUAACCUCAGCGAUUGACGUUACCCGCAGAAUAAGCACCGGCUAACUCCGUGCCAGCAGCCGCGGUAAUACGGAGGGUGCAAGCGUUAAUCGGAAUUACUGGGCGUAAAGCGCACGCAGGCGGUCUGUCAAGUCGGAUGUGAAAUCCCCGGGCUCAACCUGGGAACUGCAUUCGAAACUGGCAGGCUAGAGUCUUGUAGAGGGGGGUAGAAUUCCAGGUGUAGCGGUGAAAUGCGUAGAGAUCUGGAGGAAUACCGGUGGCGAAGGCGGCCCCCUGGACAAAGACUGACGCUCAAGUGCGAAAGCGUGAGGAGCAAACAGGAUUAGAUACCCUGGUAGUCCACGCCGUAAACGAUGUCGACUUGGAGGUUGUGCCCUUGAGGCGUGGCUUCC
rnacentral:rRNA from 1 species